rnacentral:lncRNA from 1 species
GGGCUGGCCCCGUGGCCGAGUGGUUAAGUUCGCGCGCUCCGCUGCAGGCGGCCCAGUGUUUCGUUGGUUCGAAUCCUGGGCGCGGACAUGGCACUGCUCAUCAAACCACGCUGAGGCAGCGUCCCACAUGCCACAACUAGAAGGACCCACAACGAAGAAUAUACAACUAUGUACCGGGGGGCUUUGGGGAGAAAAAGGAAAAAAUAAAAAAAUCUUUAAAAAAAAAAAAAUUAAAUUCUCUGUAUUGUUUGCUAUGGGUUUUGAGCAGGACAAGAUACAUGAAUUUUACUUAGGGACAAGCUGAAAUGUCACCCUUUUGUCAACUGAUGGGAACAUUCUCAAUCCUUUCUUUCCUAGCAAGAACAUGUGUCAUAAUCAAGUUCCAAGUACUCACUCUUAGUACUAGAAUGUUCAUAACUCUAAUAGAAUGUGAUAGGCUGAAAAAUAAACCCCCAAAAGAUAUCCAUGUCAAAUCUCUGGAACUUGUGAAUAUUAACUUAUUUGGGAAAAGGGUCUUUGAAGAGGUGUUUAAGUUAUAGAUCUUGAGAUGAGGAGAUCCAAGAUUAUCCAGGCGAGUCUUAAAUGCUAUCAUGUGUCCUUAUAAAAGAUCAACAGAAAGAGAUUUGACACACACAGAAGACCAUGAGGUAAUGUGGUCAUGGAUGCAGAGAAUGGAGUGAUGGGCCACAAGUCAAGAAAUGCCAGGAGCCACCAGAAACUGGAAGAAAUAAGGAACAGGCUGACCACAGGCGAGAAACAUACCUACAACGUAUCCAUUACAGCUGACGGAAGAAUGGAACAAUAUGCUGCCUGGAGCCUAUCACUCCUGGAGACCCACAUCCUUGGACCCCUCCUCAUGCCCAUUUUCCCUAUUAACUACCUCAAGAUUCUGUAAUUCUUGAGGACCGUGGAAAACUUGUGGAGGAGCUCAGAAAUAACUCCGAGCUACAUAGAAAAAAAAAGAGAAAUGCAAUCAGACUUUAUAACAUGGGAUGUUUAUGCAG